rnacentral:rRNA from 1 species
AUUGAACGCUGGCGGCAGGCCUAACACAUGCAAGUCGAGCGGAUGACGGGAGCUUGCUCCUUGAUUCAGCGGCGGACGGGUGAGUAAUGCCUAGGAAUCUGCCUGGUAGUGGGGGACAACGUUUCGAAAGGAACGCUAAUACCGCAUACGUCCUACGGGAGAAAGCAGGGGACCUUCGGGCCUUGCGCUAUCAGAUGAGCCUAGGUCGGACUAGCUUGUUGGUGAGGUAAUGGCUCACCAAGGCGACGAUCCGUAACUGGUCUGAGAGGAUGAUCAGUCACACUGGAACUGAGACACGGUCCAGACUCCUACGGGAGGCAGCAGUGGGGAAUAUUGGACAAUGGGCGAAAGCCUGAUCCAGCCAUGCCGCGUGUGUGAAGAAGGUCUUCGGAUUGUAAAGCACUUUAAGUUGGGAGGAAGGGUUGUAGAUUAAUACUCUGCAAUUUUGACGUUACCGACAGAAUAAGCACCGGCUAACUCUGUGCCAGCAGCCGCCGUAA